CUAACAAAGCACUAAACUACAAAGGAAUUUCUUCAUCAUCAAGCUUUCUUCAAGCGUUUCAAGUCACUCUUCGUCAAUUCUCCCUAUCAUCCAAUGUGCUCGUACAUGUAAACAAAAGAAGAGCAUUAGUUAGAAAAAUUCAUGUUGGAAUAAGAUUGGAAAAUUUCAAAGAAAUCUCUAUAUUUUAA